GACGAACGCUGGCGGCGUGCUUAACACAUGCAAGUCGAACGGAAAGGCCCCUUUGGGGGUACUCGAGUGGCGAACGGGUGAGUAACACGUGAGUAACCUGCCCUUGACUUCGGGAUAACUUCAGGAAACUGGGGCUAAUACCGGAUAGGAAUCCUUGCUGCAUGGUGGGGGUUGGAAAGCUUCGGCGGUUUUGGAUGGACUCGCGGCUUAUCAGCUUGUUGGUGGGGUAGUGGCUUACCAAGGCUUUGACGGGUAGCCGGCCUGAGAGGGCGACCGGCCACAUUGGGACUGAGAUACGGCCCAGACUCCUACGGGAGGCAGCAGUGGGGAAUAUUGCACAAUGGGCGGAAGCCUGAUGCAGCAGCGCCGCGGGCGGGAUGACGGCCUUCGGGUUGUAAACCGCUUUCAGCAGGGGCGAAGCUUGUGGUGACGGUACCUGCAGAAGAAGCACCGGCUAACUACGUG
rnacentral:rRNA from 1 species